rnacentral:rRNA from 1 species
CCUACGGGCGGCAGCAGUGAGGAAUAUUGGUCAAUGGGCGCGAGCCUGAACCAGCCAAGUCGCGUGAAGGAUGACUGCCCUACGGGUUGUAAACUUCUUUUAUAAAGGAAUAAAGUGAGGCACGCGUGCCUUUUUGUAUGUACUUUAUGAAUAAGGAUCGGCUAACUCCGUGCCAGCAGCCGCGGUAAUACGGAGGAUCCGAGCGUUAUCCGGAUUUAUUGGGUUUAAAGGGAGCGUAGAUGGGUUGUUAAGUCAGUUGUGAAAGUUUGCGGCUCAACCGUAAAAGUGCAAUUGAUACUGGCAGCCUUGAGUACAGUAGAGGUAGGCGGAAUUCGUGGUGUAGCGGUGAAAUGCAUAGAUAUCACGAAGAACUCCGAUUGCGAAGGCAGCUUACUAACCUGCCACUGACAUUGAUGCUCGAAAGUGUGGGUAUCGAACAGGAUUAGAUACCCCAGUAGUC